AAAUUGAAGAGUUUGAUCAUGGCUCAGAUUGAACGCUGGCGGCAGGCCUAACACAUGCAAGUCGAACGGUAACAGGAAGCAGCUUGCUGCUUCGCUGACAAGUGGCGGACGGGUGAGUAAUGUCUGGGAAACUGCCUGAUGGAGGGGGAUAACUACUGGAAACGGUGGCUAAUACCGCAUGACGUCGCAAGACCAAAGAGGGGGACCUUCGGGCCUCUUGCCAUCAGAUGUGCCCAG
rnacentral:rRNA from 1 species